rnacentral:rRNA from 1 species
UACGUAGGGGGCAAGCGUUGUCCGGAAUCAUUGGGCGUAAAGCGCGUGUAGGCGGUCCGAUAAGUCGGUUGUGAAAGUCAAGGGCUCAACCCUUGAAUGCCGACCGAUACUGUCGGGCUAGAGUCCGGAAGAGGUGAGUGGAAUUCCUGGUGUAGCGGUGAAAUGCGCAGAUAUCAGGAGGAACACCAAUGGCGAAGGCAGCUCACUGGGACGGUACUGACACUGAGACGCGAAAGCGUGGGGAGCAAACAGG